rnacentral:lncRNA from 1 species
UAACCACUUAUAUAUAUUUUUUCUCUCUCGUAUAUUUGCAUUAAUUAGGAACACUUUUCUACUCUCUAUUCUUUCCUAUACCCUUCCACCUAUAGAAGACGGCACGGGGAAGAGCGAUGCACGAGACAAAGGUUGUGCGUAUUUUUACGCACGAUGUCGACCUAUUUGUCAAUUGCCAAUAAUGGAGAAGGGACAUGGGAUACUUUUGGAGAUGAGUUUUUUUUUCUUUUUUUUUCCAAAACGACAUGGACGAGGAAGGAAUAUGGGGUACUUUUGGAGAUGCUUGCAUGCAGCCACAUGAAUCUAUGGCCUUGUUUAGUUCAUGAAAAGAAAAAAAAAUUGUGGGUGUCGCAUCGAAUUUGCCGGCACACGUUUGAAGUAUUAAACGUAGACUAAUCAAAUAACAAAUUACAUAACUUACCU